rnacentral:rRNA from 1 species
GCAAGUCGAACGAAGCUUUUCGGAGCUUAGUGGCGGACGGGUGAGUAACGCGUGAGAAUCUACCUAGAGGACGGGGACAACAGUUGGAAACGACUGCUAAAACCGGAUGUGCCGAGAGGUGAAAUAUUAAUAGCCUUUAGAGGAGCUCGCGUCUGAUUAGCUAGUUGGUAGUGAAAAGGACUACCAAGGCAACGAUCAGUAGCUGGUCUGAGAGGAUGAGC